AGAAUAUUGGGACAAUUGCUCCAGGCCGCUCACCACCGAAGUCAUUAACUGCACCCCACUGUAAAGGUCAGCCUUGCAGCUCCGGAAGCGUUGUGCAUCCUGCAUCACCCUUACAGAAUGAUUGCAACCACAAAACCUACAGACAUAGCAGGUCUGAACAAAGAAUGCAUUUAUAAGCCAUGAAGGAGACAAACUGAGAGCUGCUGAGAAGGUGAAAAACUGGAAGGGGAUUGUCUGUGAAAGGACCUCUUGAGGUGAGAUCAAAAAGAGUGGUAAAAUUAGAUCCUAGUCUGAAUGAAAGAAAAGAGGGGAAAAAAGGCUGUAGGGCAGAGUGAAACUGAGAUUGGCUGGCAAAGAAACUGAUUGGUAUGUGGAAGAGCAUUGUACUAGAUUUCAAUUGAUCUUGUAGUUUCGCAUUACAGAUUGUGUUGUCAGGUCUAAAGAGGCUUAAACUGAAGCACUUACAGAUCAAUGCUUUUGCCAGCAAGCUCUUUGCUCCCUGUAAAACAGAAUAAUAGGAUCUCAUCACACCUUGCUGAUAUAAUAAAAUUAAUAAUUUUAAAAAGCACUGCAAAAAUGGUGAAACAUAGAAAACUCAGUAAAGUCAAUAAUUCAGUAGUUUCAUCAGAUAAAACUUAAGUAGUGUGCAUCAGAUAAAGUGAUGGCCCACAUCCCUUGAAGCGGGUAAAAUGAUUUUACUGCAGCCCUUUAUCCAUUGAUUUAAUUGUGCUGUGUGCUGAAUUAAGUGGAAACUCUUUCAGAGAAGUGGUAAGUUAUGAUUGCAUCAUAGCAACUAUACAGACCUGGCUCAAACUGCUAUCAGGGAAGCAAACUUAAUUCUUUCAUUUCAGAUAAGCAAGGAACUAUUUUUUCGAAAAAAUCCUCUUCAAAUCGAAGUCGAUGCACGUUUUGGUAGAAAGUUAAUGUGUCCGUGCUUCAGCUGUUGAUGUGUCAGAAUAGAGAUAUAAAAGGAAAGUAGGUUUCCGUGUGGUCCAGAAUGCAAAACCUUAUUUUACUUAGCAGCUAAUGCCCCCAGGUGGCUAGUUAGUGUAUUUGACUGAAAGCCAUAAAAUGCGCUUUUGUUUUACCUCUAGGGAAAUACCUGUUUUCGUGUAAACAUAUUUCCAAGCGUGAAUUUUUAUGUGUGACUUAAAAAAAAUAUAAAAAACUAGUAUAAGUAGAAAGGGCUGAUUCGUAGAGAGGAAUAAAGACCGAAGACAAGCAUACCUAAAAAGAAUAUUUCUGGAGGUCAGUGGAAUACAUUUAUCUAAUUUGUAGGUUAACAGUAAGUCAAUUGUUAAAAUAGAUAAGUAUGAAACAGUGCCAAAGCUCAAGGAAAAAGAAUGAAUUAAUUAUGGAGGAAA